GCGGCAGGCUUAACACAUGCAAGUCGAGGGGUAUGGUUCUUCGGAACCAGAGACCGGCGCACGGGUGCGUAACGCGUAUGCAAUCUGCCUUUCACAGAGGGAUAGCCCAGAGAAAUUUGGAUUAAUACCUCAUAGUAUAGCGACAUCGCAUGAUGAUGCUAUUAAAGUCACAACGGUGAAAGAUGAGCAUGCGUCCCAUUAGCUAGUUGGUAAGGUAACGGCUUACCAAGGCAACGAUGGGUAGGGGUCCUGAGAGGGAGAUCCCCCACACUGGUACUGAGACACGGACCAGACUCCUACGGGAGGCAGCAGUGAGGAAUAUUGGUCAAUGAGCGCAAGCCUGAACCAGCCAUGCCGCGUGCAGGAUGACGGUCCUAUGGAUUGUAAACUGCUUUUGCACAGGAAGAAACACUGAUUCGUGAAUCAGCUUGACGGUACUGUGAGAAUAAGGAUCGGCUAACUCCGUGCCAGCAGCCGCGGUAAUACGGAGGAUCCAAGCGUUAUCCGGAAUCAUUGGGUUUAAAGGGUCCGUAGGCGGUCUGGUAAGUCAGUGGUGAAAGCCCAUCGCUCAACGGUGGAACGGCCAUUGAUACUGCUGGACUUGAAUUAUUAGGAAGUAACUAGAAUAUGUAGUGUAGCGGUGAAAUGCUUAGAGAUUACAUGGAAUACCAAUUGCGAGGGCAGGUUACUACUAAUGGAUUGACGCUGAUGGACGAAAGCGUGGGUAGCGAACAGGAUUAGAUACCCUGGUAGUCCACGCCGUAAACGAUGGAUACUAGCUGUUGGAAGCAAUUUCAGUGGCUAAGCGAAAGUGAUAAGUAUCCCACCUGGGGAGUU
rnacentral:rRNA from 1 species